AAACUUGAAACGAUGUAGCAAGGAACAAGGGCACUGAUAAAAUUAGCUCAAUUCUGGAACAAUGAAAGUAAAAUUUGCUCUUCCAAAAUUGAAAUAGUUUUCAAAAUAUUUAAGUCCAAGACAGAAAUUUCAGAUAUGAAACCCUAUCUCAGUAGCACGUGAAAUUUUCAUACUUAAAUACAAUUCUCAUUACUUGUUUACCUUCUAAUGUGUGAUUAUAUAUAUAUAUGUAUAUAUUCCAUUUUAUCAUGUGAAUUGAAUUUAUGUUUGUAAUGUAUUCGAGUUAGCUUUACAAUAUUAUUUGUUCACUGCAGUUUUGAGCAAUUUUGUAUUAAUUUGACCAAUGAAAAGCUGCAGCAACAUUUCAACCAGGUUUUGCACGUUAUGGGUAUACUUAUGUUUGUAGCAUUCCUUGGAACAUCCAAACGACUUUCUUAAUUUAAUCUGUCCUGAAUAUGUUGUUUGAUAGCACGUUUUCAAGAUGGAGCAAGAAGAAUACACGAAAGAAGAAAUUGACUGGAGUUACAUAGAAUUCAUUGAUAAUCAGGAUGUCCUUGAUCUCAUUGAAAAGAAACCUGGU
rnacentral:misc_RNA from 1 species